UACGUAGGGUGCGAGCGUUAAUCGGAAUUACUGGGCGUAAAGUGUGCGCAGGCGGCCGCGCAAGUCGAGUGUGAAAGCCCCGGGCUUAACUUGGGAAUUGCGCUCGAAACUACGUGGCUGGAGUGUGGCAGAGGAAGGUGGAAUUCCAGGUGUAGCGGUGAAAUGCGUAGAGAUCUGGAGGAACACCGGUGGCGAAGGCGGCAUCCUGGACCGGCAUUGACGCUGAGGCGCGAAAGCCAGGGGAGCAAACGGG
rnacentral:rRNA from 1 species